GAUGAACGCUAGCGGCAGGCCUAACACAUGCAAGUCGAACGGUAACAUGAUCAGCUUGCUGAUUGAUGACGAGUGGCGCACGGGUGCGUAACGCGUAUGCAACCUGCCUCUAACUGGGAGAUAGCCCGGAGAAAUUCGGAUUAAUACCCCAUAAUAUGUGUCUUUCGCAUGUUAGACACAUUAAAGCUUUUGCGGUUAGAGAUGGGCAUGCGUGACAUUAGCUAGUUGGUAAGGUAACGGCUUACCAAGGCAACGAUGUCUAGGGGGUCGUGAGAGGAUUAUCCCCCACACUGGUACUGAGACACGGACCAGACUCCUACGGGAGGCAGCAGUGAGGAAUAUUGCGCAAUGGAGGCAACUCUGACGCAGCCAUGCCGCGUGCAGGAAGAAGGCGCUACGCGUUGUAAACUGCUUUUAACCGGGAAGAAACCCUCCGACGUGUCGGAGGUUGACGGUACCGGAGGAAUAAGCACCGGCUAACUUCGUGCCAG
rnacentral:rRNA from 1 species